UGGGGAAUAUUGGGCAAUGGGGGAAACCCUGACCCAGCAACGCCGCGUGAAGGAAGAAGGCCUUCGGGUUGUAAACUUCUUUUACCAGGGACGAAGGACGUGACGGUACCUGGAGAAAAAGCCACGGCUAACUACGUGCCAGCAGCCGCGGUAAUACGUAGGUGGCAAGCGUUGUCCGGAUUUACUGGGUGUAAAGGGCGUGUAGGCGGAGCUGCAAGUCAGAUGUGAAAUCUCCGGGCUUAACCCGGAAACUGCAUUUGAAACUGUAGUCCUUGAGUAUCGGAGAGGCAAGCGGAAUUCCUAGUGUAGCGGUGAAAUGCGUAGAUAUUAGGAGGAACACCAGUGGCGAAGGCGGCUUGCUGGACGACAACUGACGCUGAGGCGCGAAAGCGUGGGGAGCAAACAGGAUUAGAUACCCUGGUAGUCCACGCUGUAAACGAUGAAUACUAGGUGUGGGGGGACUGACCCCUUCCGUGCCGCAGUUAACACAAUAAGUAUUCCACCUGGGGAGUACGACCGCAAGGUUGAAACUCAAAGGAAUUGACGGGGGCCCGCACAAGCAGUGGAUUAUGUGGUUUAAUUCGACGCAACGCGAAGAACCUUACCAGGAUUUGACAUCCCACUAACGAAGUAGAGAUACAUUAGGUACCCUUCGGGGGAAGUGGAGACAGGUGGUGCAUGGUUGUCGUCAGCUCGUGUCGUGAGAUGUUGGGUUAAGUCCCGCAACGAGCGCAACCCCUAUUGUUAGUUGCUACGCAAGAGCACUCUAGCGAGACUGCCGUUGACAAAACGGAGGAAGGCGGGGACGACGUCAAAUCAUCAUGCCCCUUAUGUCCUGGGCUACACACGUAAUACAAUGGCGUUUAACAAAGGGAAGCGAAGCCGCGAGGUGGAGCAAAUCCCGAAAAGGCGUCUCAGUUCGGAUUGCAGGCUGCAACCCGCCUGCAUGAAGCUGGAAUUGCUAGUAAUCGUGGAUCAGCAUGCCACGGUGAAUACGUUCCC
rnacentral:rRNA from 2 species